AUACGGAGGAUGCGAGCGUUAUCCGGAUUCAUUGGGUUUAAAGGGUGCGCAGGCGGCCUGGCGAGUCAGCGGUGAAAUCCCGGGGCCCAACCCCGGAAGUGCCGUUGAUACUGUCGGGCUGGAAUGCGGUCGGGGCGGGCAGAGCGUGGCGCGUCGCGGUGAAUGCGGAGAGAUGGCACAGAACGCCGCUAGCGGAGGCAGCUCGGCGGGCCGGCAUUGGCGCUCGGGCACGAAAGCGUGGGGAUCGAACAGGAUUAGAUCCCCGGGGAGUCCACGGCGUAAACGAUGGGCGCUCGUCGUCGUCGGCAGACGGUCGGCGGCCAAGCGAAAGCGAUAAGCGCCCCACCUGGGGAGUACGGUCGCAAGGCUGAAACUCAAAUGAAUUGGCGGGG
rnacentral:rRNA from 1 species